rnacentral:lncRNA from 1 species
ACAUAAAAAUUUGCCAGUAAUACUCCUGGUUGUUGUUUAGCUAGCAGGUCAGGCCAGGCUUUUGCUAGAGAUUGACUGUAAGCUGCUUCUCAGGAAAGGAGAAGUGCUCUGGAAACCUGCAGAUGAAAAUGAAAAGAAAACGUCAUCAUGGUCAGAGGAGGAGGAAGCGCCUGCAACAGCAGCAGCAGCAGCAGCAGCAGCAGCAGCAGCAGCAGCAGCAGCAGCAGCAGCAGCAGCAGCAGGAUCGACAGGAUCAGCAGCAGGAUCAGCAGCAAGGGCAGCAGCAACAGCACGGGCAGCAGGGGCAGCAGGGGCAGCAGCUGCAGCAGCAGGAGCAGCAGCUGUGCCAGCAGCAGCAACAGUGCCAGCAGUGCCAGCAACUGCAGCAGCAGCAGCAGCAACA